GUGGGGCUGUGGGGGCGGCCGCGUGCUGCCUGCGGGCUCAGUACUCAACGGCGGGAUUAAUUAAACCCCUGACCUGAGGUCAUGAGCAAGGCUGUGGCAGUUUUUCAUAGGAGGGCCGCCUUUUCCUAAAGAGCAAAUGGGGCUUCCAGAGGAUGCGGAAGAUGCUGGCACUUCUGGGACACGUGGCAGCUGGCAGCUGUCCCUAUCCAAAGACAGACUGCACAUCCCGUAGAUGGCCACGUCGACGUCGUUACUCUGGACAAGUGUGCAAUGCCGAGGUUGAAUGCUCAGCAGAGCGCCUUUUUAAAAAUCUAGAGCCAAGAGCAUCGCCGCGUUCCCCGGAUCCCCUAACCCUGCACCCUUUUGAGAGAAGAUCUCACUAAGUCACCAGUUUGCCCAGGCUGGGCUGGAACUUAUCCUGUCCUCCUGCAUCAGCCGCCCGGAGUCCUGGGACUGCAGGGAACCCUGCUUGCACAGAAACUGCCGGGAGAUCAACACCCAAACCCGGGAGUUCUCUGGGGAACAAUGUCAGCGGGAAACAGAGAGUUUGCAGGUUCAUUGGUGCCAACUAGGAAGUGGGGACACAGAAGAUGAGAGACCGUGCACGGUGUUCUGAGGGAUUUGGGGAAGUGGGUUUGGGUCUGUGCCCUCUGGCCGUUAACACCCUGGCGGGGAGACUGGACUUGUGUGUAUUUCACAGCUGGAGAACAGAGGAUGUGUUAUAAUCCUACUAAGCUGCACGGUUUAAUGGAGUUUCGUGGGACUCAGAGAGGUUGUGAGGGUUCCAGCCAGCUCAGUAGCAUCCUUUCUUUCUUUUUCUUUCUUUCUUUCUGGUGGUACCAGGGAUUGAACUCAGGACUUUGCGUUUGCGAGACAUGCGCGGUGCCACUGAGCUCCAUCCCCAGCUCAGCAGCGUUCUUUCUGUGGGACGUGCUCUGCCGCUCUACAGAUCCCCCAGGAAAGCGUGAAGGGAAGAGGGUGGAGAGGGACAGGAGGAGGAGGAAGGGACGAACGAACAAAUGA